rnacentral:rRNA from 1 species
AUGGGGCAGUGCGGAUGCUUCGGGGCGGCGCAGAAGGAGCAGCGGGCGGAGGCCGACCGCCUCGAGGCGCAGGAGGCCCGCGCAAGGGCCGCCGAGGCCGCCCAGAAGAGGCAGCAGGAAUAUGAAAAGUCAGCUGCUGGACGAGCAGCACGAGCACAGAUUAAAGCUAUGAAGGAGGCCAAGACAUCAUCAAACCAAGGAGAGCCGGUUCUGAAGUGGCAGAUGGGGUAA